CGAAUAUCAUUUAACUUGGUUGGCGGGUAUUAAUCUUAGCUUGUGUUUUAUGUUCUUGCUUGUAGUUUUUUAGAAGGUUCCCUUGUUUUCAUAGUGUAUUUUACUUCACUAUUUCCUUAAUAGAAUUUCUUUCCUUAUUAAAAAAAGGCCUAAUGAAAAAUAAACUUAUAUUUUACUUUUUUUCAAUUUUAUUCAAAACUUUUAAUUUUGGCAAUUUUAUCCAAAUCGCCAAAAGUUGUUGAAAUUCUAUCUAAUUUUUACCUACCGAAUCUUCAACUCUAUUUAUUGACUUGUCUAUGGCUACCAAUGAAGAUCCAAUCUUACCAUUACCAUAAACUCCUCUAGAAUUUCAUUUUUGUACCCAUGGGCCAUCAAUUGGUGUCGAGAUUUGGUAGCAGUGAGAUGAGAGAGUGGACAAACAAAUCACCUCGAUUUGGCCAAAUGGGUAAGUAUUUUAAUGCAUUAUGACAAACAAACCGCCCUGAUUUGGCC
rnacentral:misc_RNA from 1 species